rnacentral:rRNA from 1 species
CUUGAGUUUGAUCCUGGCUCAGAUUGAACGCUGGCGGCAGGCUUAACACAUGCAAGUCGAGCGGUAACAGGAGAAGCUUGCUUCUCGCUGACGAGCGGCGGACGGGUGAGUAAUACUUAGGAAUCUACCUAGUAGUGGGGGAUAGCUCGGGGAAACUCGAAUUAAUACCGCAUACGACCUACGGGAGAAAGGGGGCAACUUGUUGCUCUCGCUAUUAGAUGAGCCUAAGUCGGAUUAGCUAGAUGGUGGGGUAAAGGCCUACCAUGGCGACGAUCUGUAGCUGGUCUGAGAGGAUGAUCAGCCACACCGGGACUGAGACACGGCCCGGACUCCUACGGGAGGCAGCAGUGGGGAAUAUUGGACAAUGGGGGCAACCCUGAUCCAGCCAUGCCGCGUGUGUGAAGAAGGCCUUUUGGUUGUAAAGCACUUUAAGCAGUGAAGAAGACUCCAUGGUUAAUACCCAUGGACGAUGACAUUAGCUGCAGAAUAAGCACCGGCUAACUCUGUGCCAGC